UACAGAGGUCCCAAGCGUUGUUCGGAUUCACUGGGCGUAAAGGGUGCGUAGGUGGUUGGGUAAGUUUGAUGUGAAAUCUCCGGGCUUAACCCGGAAACUGCAUUGAAUACUACUCGACUAGAGGGCUGGAGGGGGGACUGGAAUUCUCGGUGUAGCAGUGAAAUGCGUAGAUAUCGAGAGGAACACCAGUGGCGAAGGCGAGUCCCUGGACAGCUUCUGACACUGAGGCACGAAAGCUAGGGGAGCAAACAGG
rnacentral:rRNA from 1 species